GUUUUUUUUUGUUCUUCUUGUCUGCUGGUGGAAUGUGUACUACCAGAUGGUCCUGCAGCAGUGGAAGGCAGAGAACAGGUUGCAGCUGAAGAACUGCUGAGCCUGUGAAAGCUGGCCAGCCCGUUCAUCAUGUGGAAAGACUGCACACGGGGCUGCCCAGAAAUGGAUUGCGACAAAGCAAACCUGCUUUCUAUCUGCGUAUGGGGACCAGAAAUGUAGCCACAAAAUGGUCAUGUGGAAGAAAGGUCCCAAUGUGUUCAAUUUUCAGGUUUGGGGCUGGCCUGGAGAGAUCACAGAUAUGCUUUCCAUAGACUCUCCAAAGGACCUAAGCACAUGAAAAUGUCUUCAGACCUUGCCACUGCACACAGCUCUUCCAUGACUCAGUUUCCCAAGAGUGAAAUGAAGAUAAUGACAUCACUGCCUCAGCUGAGGGCUACAAGGCUCUGAUAUUUGUUAUACAGAAGAUGGAAACUGCAAACACAGAUCGCAGAGCCUGCAGGAGAAAGGAAUGAAUCUGUCCCACAGCAUUUUCUCAGAAGCCCAGCUCAUUCCUGCCUGCAGUGCCAGUGACCGUUUCAAUUGAAAGUCAGACAGACUGGAUGGCAUGUAUCCUUACAAUAUCACUAACAGUAAUUUUGCCUUCUGCAGCUCACAAAUGGGGAAUCCAGUCACAAAAAUGCUGUGCGCCAUUCCCAAGGUCACAAAAGCAGUGCAUGGCACUGCAGAGAUCAGGAUCCAGGCCUCCUGCAUUAAAUGCACAGCUGCCUCUCUCCACUUUCUUGCAACUGAAAUCUAGUAUUAGUUCCUGGAAUCACCCAUCCAGUACCUUGAAAAAAUAUGAUGUGCUCCAAAGCUGUUACAAAGCAAGACGGCACGAAUAAAGCAAUUCCCAAUAAAAAGGACAGUUCAAAUUUCUUCAUCUUUGACUUGUGCAAAAGACAAGAAAUACUUAAUUUUUCCUGCCCAAACACUACGUGAAAACCUGCUGAAAUACAUUUUCAGACCAGAAUAUGUUGGUUAGCAUAAAAGAAUUGCUUCCCUGCCCCUCCAUUUUACAGCAAACUUCUGUGUUUAAUGCCAAAACACCUAGUUUGCUAAAGGUCACAGAGAAGUGACAAGAAAAGCAAGAAAAUAAAUACUCAAAGCAAGAGGAUGAACAUUUGGACAUACAUUCAUUCUGAAUGUUCUUUUCAUUGUUUGGACAUUAUUUUACACCUGAGUCAUCCUAGAUCUUUCAAAAACAAGGACAGAAAAGGGAGAAGAAAAAUAAGCCAGUAAGAAGGAUUUUUUUUUUUUUUUUUCAAAUCUCCUUGUCAUUUUGCAUCAAAACAAUUCAGGAAUUACAGAAUGCUCCUGGCCCAAGAGAUGUGAUCUUGCUAAUGCACUUCAGGUGCUCUUUAUCAUCUCAGGGGAUGCACUUCUAGGGGAAUGACAACUCAGAAAAGACCAGCAGGAGGUGACUGGUCAACUGGAUCUUGAUUUGACUUAUGUCGCAAUCCUCUGGUUCUCAACUCCUUCCUUUUUCUUCCCAGCUUUCCAAGGAGAUGUAGGGGCACUUCUCUGUAGAGCUGAAACAUGAAUGUCCCCAAAGAUUUUCCCCUUGUUUCCUUCAGGGAAAGAAGGAGAUUAUCAAGGUACCUGCAGAAUUUCACAUAUUAGAUAAACUUCCUCAUGCUUUCUUGAACUCCACUCCAUCUGCCUAGUCCCACUCAACCUGCAGGCAAGGCGACCUAAAAAAGAUUUAUUCUACACAUCCUAACGGCAAAGGCAAAGUAUGGGUUGACAUAUCUGCCUCUAAACUUGACACGCAUUUCUUUACACGUGAGUGCUGCCAACUUGCACACGUUGAUGCAACUGGAGAAUUGCUUCAGGGACAGCAACUGUACAGGUGUCUAAGCUACAUCUUUGAAUGUGAUAUGAGAAGCACAGGCCAAAGAUUUUAGGAUUAUUUUAUGAUUCUCUGAAGAGAAUCAUCGUAAGAUUCAGAGAACUGUAAGAACUUUUGGUUCCUUAUCUGAACUUCAAAAUCUUUUGAGGUUUCUCUCAGGCUGGCAAUAACAGUCCUAACUACACUGACAAACAGCAACAGCCUCCUCAGCCCUUCCAUUUUUGCAAUAAAAUAGAAUGCUUUUCUCUUCGUUCUUUCUUUUUAAUUAAAAUUUUCUCUUCUCUUAUUACCUUGGGCUGUUGCUUUGUGUCUAGAGUGGUUCUGUUCCUGACCACCGAAACAAUAAAAAAGUUCUCGGUGCCCAUGAAAGGACUCUGAACUAUCUGAUCUGUUCAAAUGUAAGGUAAAGAUAAAAACUCAGACAAGAUCAACCUGCUUCUUCUUCAGACUUCAAGAGACAGUCCAGAUAAUUGUAAAUGGUGAGGAAUAAAACAGCUCAGAGGAUUGGAGUGACUUAACUGUUCCCAAAAUUUUUGAUCAUACUAAAAAAUUAGCCUUUCUAGCUUCUCCUGAUGUAUGGAAAAGUGAUGUUCCUGUGCAGUGCUGGCCAUGGCACAGUGCAGGACAAGAGUGUGGUUCAAGCCACAGGUUCUUCAAACGAAAUUUCCCUAUAGGGCUACUAUGAAACAUGAAGAGUUGCUACCAACUAAAACAGGCUGGUACAACACGGACUGUGAAGCAAUACGUUCAGCCAAUUCACUACAGAGCAUGAUCAGAGCCUCCAGAAAACAGGUACAUCGAGAAGAAGCUGAAGGAAGGAAAUCUGAGAACCAGUGAAGAAGUCUUCAGAGACGCAGCUUGUCUGUGAGUGCCUCACUAACUUAAAAGGUCUUUGUUAUCCAAAAUAAAUGUGUGCUGGGUGUCAGACCAUUUCUCAAUGUGUCGGAACAACAUACUCUCCUUUCCACUCCACCUCUGGCAUCAGCGAUAGUUUCAGACAGCAAAAACUACUAGGGCCAAAGGAAAGCGAGGGAUCUUUCCAGAACAAGUGUUAGUGAGAAGGGGCCAAAAAUUGGUCUUACAACUCUUAGAGUGCAAUUUGAUCUACGAAUAAUAAAUUACCCUUCCAAAUGGCUGAUUUGACCCUUUUCAGUAGCAUGACUGUAAAAAAGAAAGAAACGUAAAAGAAUAUAUGCAUAAAAUGCUGUAGAGCAGCGGUCAUGGCUCCAGCACAUAAAACAUUUGCUCUGUCAGUGGACAAAGUGUAAAUCCUAUUUUUCUUUCCUUUUUUUUAAAAAAAUAAAUAAAUAAAGCAAAGAUGAAAA